rnacentral:rRNA from 1 species
UACGUAGGGCGCAAGCGUUGUCCGGAAUUAUUGGGCGUAAAGAGCUCGUAGGCGGUUUGGUAAGUUGGAUGUGAAAUCUCCAGGCUCAACUUGGAGGGGUCAUUUGAUACUGCCAUGACUAGAGUUCGGUAGGGGAGUGUGGAAUUCCUGGUGGAGCGUGAAAUGCGGCAGAUAUCAGGAGGAACACCCGUAGCGAAGGCGGCACUCUGGGCCGGAACUGACGCUGAGGAGCGAAAGCGUGGGGAGCGAACA